UACGUAGGGGGCAAGGCGUUGUCCGGAAUCAUUGGGCGUAAAGAGCGUGUAGGCGGCCCGAUAAGUCCGCUGUGAAAGUCCAGGGCUCAACCCUGGAAUGCCGGUGGAUACUGUCGGGCUCGAAUCCGGAAGAGGUGAGUGGAAUUCCUGGUGUAGCGGUGAAAUGACGCAGAUAUCAGGAGGAACACCAAUGGCGAAGGCAGCUCACUGGGACGGUAUUGACGCUGAGACGCAAAAGCGUGGGGAGCAAACAGG
rnacentral:rRNA from 1 species